CAGGGCUGUCACCUCCCUUCUAGAACGGUGCCGGAGCGGUGAUGAAGGAGGAGCCUCUAGUCUGAGUGUGUUCUUGGAAAAUCAGUUGAAGUGGACGUGAGCCCCCAGAACGAAGUGAUGGGGAGGAUGGAGGCAGACAGUGUAACCUACCAGCACAUUCUCCCUGAGUCUCCUGAGCCGUCUGCGUCUCAUGUAUUGUCCGACUGCGAAAUGUCCGAGAAGUCCUCCGUCCUCUCGAGAGACCAGAAGCAAGACAGCGAGACUGGGAAGACCUCGGUCUUGGCGAACCAUUUCU